rnacentral:piRNA from 1 species
UGCGUGCGUGUUUAAUGUCAGACCUGGGA